GUGAGCCAUCUUUUGACGAUGGUAGGAUAAUUAUUGACCUGAGGAAUAAUAUGGAUUUAUGUGGUUGUGAGAAUAGACUUUGUGUUUGUGAUUGUGAAAAUGUGAGUGUGUCUCUGUGUGUGCGCGCGCGCUUUCCUGAACCAGGGAUCCCACUUGACAAGGGGCGCAAGGAUUCACUUCUCUCUUGGACACUGACGGGUCUCGACAUGCAAAUUCUGCUCCUGGCGUUGGCCGUCAGUGGAAGAGCGUAGGUUCGGUGGGGUUCUGUCUGCCUCUGAUGGGGUGCGGAUGUGUGGUUCGUCACUGGUGAAUGGUGUUCGACGAUGCAGGUGGAUUUUGUGACGAGCGGAUUUACAAUGAGGGAAUGCUGUGAACGGGAAAAAUGAUGAGCUGUCCUAACUUGCCCAGACAUGCCAUGAUGACGUCACAGCUGACGUCACAGGAUGUGCGGAACUGGUGCUGCGAUGCUUUGCAACCUGCCUCUGUGCUCCGUCGCCCAGCGACGGUCAGCGGCCGUUCCGGGCCGCUUUCUUCAAGAUGACGUCGUUGAUCUUCAACUAAACUCCUUCUCUCCACUCUAUCUCUAUCUUUUUAUUUUAUUUUCUACCUAUUUUUUUAUUUUUUAUCAGCUCAACUAGCCCACAACUCACACAGUGGUCUGGACACGUCCUAGAUGCGCCCCAAUUAGUGUAAUGACUCCCUGAAUGAUCCUAAUUACUGGGGGGGGGGUCCCAAUUAGCUCUAAUUGCUCAUUAAUGGCGUCCAGGCCACUGUGAGAGUUGUGGGCCAGUUGAGCUGAUCCCAUACUACUCUUGUUGCGUUCUCUACAACUUUAAGUUGUCCGUUGUCAACAGUUGAUAUUUAACGUCCCGCUAAACGCUGAAUAUGCUCUCGAAAAGCUCAAAUAAUUCUACGGAGCAGACUUUUCCGUGAGCAAACUUUUUCC